GAUGAACGCUGGCGGCGUGCCUAACACAUGCAAGUCGAACGGACUUUAGACGCUGCAGAGAUUUCGGUCGAAGCUUGUUUAAAGUUAGUGGCGGACGGGUGAGUAACGCGUGGGCAACCUGCCUCGUACUGGGGGAUAGCAGUUGGAAACGACUGAUAAUACCGCAUAAGCGCACAGUAUCGCAUGAUACAGUGUGAAAAACUCCGGUGGUACGAGAUGGGCCCGCGUCAGAUUAGCUAGUUGGUAAGGUAACGGCUUACCAAGGCGACGAUCUGUAGCCGGACUGAGAGGUCGGACGGCCACAUUGGGACUGAGACACGGCCCAAACUCCUACGGGAGGCAGCAGUGGGGGAUAUUGCACAAUGGGGGAAACCCUGAUGCAGCGACGCCGCGUGAGUGAAGAAGUAUUUCGGUAUGUAAAGCUCUAUCAGCAGGGAAGAAAGGCUCGCAAGAGAGAUGACG
rnacentral:rRNA from 1 species